AAGAGGGCAACUUCCCAAGGUUCUCAGGGGAGCCAGGGCACUCCUCCCACCAUCUUGUGACCGCCCCCAUGUCUGGAUAAUCCCUCAGACCCAGCAUGUACUGUAUGUGUGUGUGCCCAGCCUGCUGCUGUGGGCAAACAGGAAUUUGAUGGAGAUUUUUGGUAGCUGGGUCAAGGGUGACAUGGCAAUGAAGCAAAGGUAAGUCUGAGAAUUCCCCAUGGCCUGGAUGGACAUGGCUUCUUGGAAGGCGACCCUCCUUUCUUGUUAAAUCUACAGGGGUUUUUUUGUUUUGUUUUAUUUUGUUUUAGGCCAUGCAUGCAAGGCAUGCGAAGAUCUUAGUUCCUUGACCAGAGAUUGAACCUGUGACCCCUGCAUCAGGAGCAUGGAGUUUUAACCACCAGACCACCAAGGAAGUUCCUAAAUCUUCAGUUUUUAUGGACAACCUGCUUGGGAUGAGACAGUGUGGAGUCUUAACCGCUGGACCGCCGGGGAAGCUCCUGACUGAUACCAGUGUCUGGGAAGGAGAUGCUGGGACUUGGGUCAUCCCAUUGAGCAUGUCCCUGUAUUCUGAAAACUGGAAUCCCACAAUGAAGACUCAUAUUGGCAAGUGGUCUUUUACCAGCACUCGCUCAGCCUGAAUACUGCACACCUGAGGAUGAACCUCACUUCUCCUGAGCAGGGCCUCAGUUUCCCCAAAGGUAAAAAUCAGAUCUUGGCUGAGACUCCUCCCUGCAGGGCUGUCUGCGAUGCUGCCGCCGAGGUGCCCUUCCC
ensembl:lncRNA